rnacentral:rRNA from 1 species
AUUGAACGCUGGCGGCAUGCUUUACACAUGCAAGUCGAACGGUAACAGGCCGCAAGGUGCUGACGAGUGGCGAACGGGUGAGUAAUGCAUCGGAACGUGCCCAGUCGUGGGGGAUAACGCAGCGAAAGCUGCGCUAAUACCGCAUACGAUCUAUGGAUGAAAGCGGGGGACCGAAAGGCCUCGCGCGAUUGGAGCGGCCGAUGUCAGAUUAGGUAGUUGGUGGGGUAAAGGCCCACCAAGCCAACGAUCUGUAGCUGGUCUGAGAGGACGACCAGCAACACUGGGACUGAGACACGGCCCAGACUCCUACGGGAGGCAGCAGUGGGGAAUUUUGGACAAUGGGCGCAAGCCUGAUCCAGCAAUGCCGCGUGCAGGAAGAAGGCCUUCGGGUUGUAAACUGCUUUUGUACGGAACGAAACGGUCCGGGUUAAUACCCUGGGCUAAUGACGGUACCGUAAGAAUAAGCACCGGCUAACUACGUGCCAGCCGCCGCAGUAACAC